rnacentral:rRNA from 1 species
AUUGAACGCUGGCGGCAUGCUUAAGACAUGCAAGUCGAACGGAGUGUGUAGCAAUACUCACUAAGUGGCGAAUGGGUGAGUAACACGUAGGUGACCUGCCCUGAAGUGCGGAAUAACAGUCCGAAAGGAUUGCUAAUACCGCAUGUGGUCCCGGGCGUUAGAGAACCAGGUCUAAAGCAGUAAUGCGCUUCAGGAGGGGCCUGCGGUCCACCAGCUAGUUGGAGGGUAAUGGCCUACCAAGGCAACGACGGAUAGGGGACCUGAGAGGGU